rnacentral:rRNA from 1 species
AUUGAACGCUGGCGGCAUGCCUUACACAUGCAAGACGAACGGCAGCGGACCUUCGGGUGCCGGCGAGUGGCGAACGGGUGAGUAAUGCAUCGGAACGUACCUUUCAGUGGGGGAUAACGUAGCGAAAGUUACGCUAAUACCGCAUAUUCUGCGAGCAAGAAAGCAGGGGAUCGCAAGACCUUGCGCUGAUUGAGCGGCCGAUGUCCGAUUAGCUAGUUGGUGAGGUAAAGGCUCACCAAGGCGACGAUCUGUAGCGGGUCUGAGAGGAUGAUCCGCCACACUGGGACUGAGACACGGCCCAGACUCCUACGGGAGGCAGCAGUGGGGAAUUUUGGACAAUGGGGGCAACCCUGAUCCAGCCAUGCCGCGUGAGUGAAGAAGGCCUUCGGGUUGUAAAGCUCUUUCGGCCGGGAAGAAAUCGCACAGGCUAAUACCUUGUGUGGAUGACGGUACCCGACUAAGAAGCCCCGGCUAACUACGUGCCAGCCGCCGCAGUAAAAC